CGUGACCUACAAACAGCAAAAGCAAACGCCAUUUCGUUGUAUUUCUCAAUAAAUGUCUCGUCCAAGCAAGGUGAUAGUUGCUAAAUUAGAGAGAGGAUUGUCCAUCGCCAUCGAUUUUUCAACAUUUUAUCAAUACUCGCUUAAUAUUGUAUUUCAACAUCGACAUUCAAUUGUGACUAACAUCCGUGGGGAUACUUUCAAACGUGACUUGAAGCUCUCAACCUGUAUGAUAUGGUUGAAUAACUUAAAUUGUACAUUGCAAAAUUUCAACAUACUUGAACACAGUUUUGCAACCAGCUUGCUUGCGAUUGUAUUAAGGAUUACCGUAUCUUGUGAAGCAGUUCUGAAUCGGGUGUAAAAGGACAUUAAUAAAACCACUGCAGCACAGUAACCAGUUAUGCAGCAACCGGGACCACCGCCACAAUACCAACCCCCGGGCCAGGGGUAUGCCCCACCCCCAGGACAGCCGGGUUAUCCCCCACAACAGGGUUAUGGGCAGCCCCAGCCGAUGAUGACCGGGCAGACACACAACGUGGUAGUCGUCUCACAGCCGGGAACGAGGGUCGUGGGAUCCUGCGGUAGAUGUGGGGUCGGUGUCGCCAGAGAAAACUACAGUGUCAUCGGUAUCAUCAUCGCGAUCCUGUUUUUCCCUCUUGGUGUUAUCUGCUGCUUAAUGAUGACAGAACGACGCUGUUCACACUGCGGGGCACCUAUGUAGUCACGCGCCAAUCCAGACGUUAUAGUGCAGUGACGUCACACGUUGUUAGUUGUGACGUCAUACUUCUCGUCGAUCGUGUAUGUCUUGUUUGUCGUCUACAACUCUGUUUGAUGUAUUUUGUUUCAUUACAUAUUGAUUAAAACAAUUUAAGGAUUCAGACCCCCACACAUAAGCUAUAUCACUGGUAGCUCUAUUAACCAUUCUGUUAAAUGUUGAUAAUUGUGGCCCGAUGUAAUUAUGGUAUGGAAAAGGUAUUUCUUGCUGGUUACUUAUGUUUUACAUAAAUAACUUAAUACUAAUAUACUAUACAAUUUGUUAGUUGUUGUUUUUUGCUCUAUUUUCAUGUGAAAUAUGAUGUGAAAGACAUACUUGUAAUGUUUCAAUGCCAUAAACGUUUGUUUACUUUA